rnacentral:rRNA from 1 species
UCCUACGGGAGGCAGCAGUAGGGAAUAUUGGUCAAUGGGCGAAAGCCUGAACCAGCAACGCCGCGUGCACGAUGAAGGCCUUCGGGUCGUAAAGUGCUUUUCUGGGAGAUGAGAAAGGACAGUAUCCCAGGAAUAAGUCUCGGCUAACUACGUGCCAGCAGCCGCGGUAAAACGUAGGAGGCGAGCGUUAUCCGGAUUCACUGGGCGUAAAGCGCGUGCAGGUGGCUUGGUAAGUUAGGCGUGAAAUCUCCCGGCUCAACUGGGAGAGGUCGUCUAAUACUACCGGGCUUGACAGAAGAGGAAGAUGGAAUUCCCGGUGUAGUGGUGAAAUGCGUAGAUAUCGGGAGGAACACCAGUGGCGAAGGCGAUCUUCUGGUCUGUUUCUGACACUCAGACGCGACAGCUAGGGUAGUAAACGGGAUUAGAGACCCCGGUAAUCCUAGCCGUAAACGAUGUGAACUUGGCGUUGGUGGGUUAAACUCCAUCAGUGCCGCAGCAAACGCGAUAAGUUCACCGCCUGGGGACUACGGCCGCAAGGUUAAAACUCAAAGGAAUUGACGGGGGCUCGCACAAGCAGCGGAGCGUGUGGUUUAAUUCGAUGCUACACGAAGAACCUUACCCAGGCUUGACAUACAGGUGGUAGGGAUCCGAAAGGUGACCGACCCGCAAGGGAGCCUGAACAGGUGUUGCAUGGCUGUCAUCAGCUCGUGUCGUGAGAUGUUCGGUUAAGUCCGCUAACGAGCGCAACCCUCGCUGCGUGUUACAAGUGUCACGCAGGACCGCCGGUAUUAAGCCGGAGGAAGGUGGGGAUGACGUCAAGUCAGCAUGGCCUUUAUGCCUGGGGCUACACACACGCUACAAUGGGCAGUACAAUGGGUUGCUAAGCCGCGAGGUGGAGCCAAUCCCCCAAAACUGUCCUCAGUUCAGAUUGCAGGCUGCAACUCGCCUGCAUGAAGCCGGAGUUGCUAGUAAACGCGCGUCAGCUAUAGUGCGUUGAAUACGUUCUCGGGCCUUGUACACACCGCCAA